CCCUUAGAUGUUCUGGGCCGCACACGCGCUACAAUGAUGAAUUCAACGAGUUUAUAACCUUGGUUGAAAAGCCUGGGUAAUCUUUUGAACUUUCGUCGUGAUGGGGCUAGACCCUUGCAAUUAUUGGUCUCCAACGAGGAAUUCCUAGUAAACGCAAGUCAUCAGCUUGCAUUGAUUACGUCCCUGCCCUUUGUACACACCGCCCGUCGCACCUACCGAUUGAAUGGUCCGGUGAAAUCUUCGGAUUGAGACUUUGUUUUCUUCACGGAAAACGCUGUUUUAAAAAGUUGAUUAAACCUUACCAUUUAGAGGAAGGUGAAGUCGUAACA
rnacentral:rRNA from 1 species